rnacentral:lncRNA from 1 species
GUCGUUAACACAAGAGACAAUGGUCUACAUGAAAAAUAAUAAAGAAGUUCACCAAGAACUCCAAAAUGGAUUCCACACUGUCACACAAAAGGUACAAGGAAAAAUAAAACUCAGAGUCACAUGGCUUUAUCUCACGGAGGCCAGCCAUGUGAAGCCUGCCACAUUAUAAAGUCUUGGAGUUUCUCUUUUUCUUGAUACAGUAUGUCACGUAGUGCUUUCAUGUUUCAUGUAUUAAUUAUAUUUCCUGUAAUGCACAUGUAAAUGGAACCUCUAAAAAAAGUUCGGCUCCAUUGUAAUUUCCUUCACAUACUGGUUUAGGAAGACAUGGGAUAUAAAUUUUUAAACUACAACAGGAGACAGUUCUAUAUAAAAAAUAAUGGAGUCCAAUGAGAACUCCAAGAAGGUUUCCAUACUCUCUUAACAAAAGGUAAACAAAGAAAAAGAAAACUCAACGUUGCGUGGCUUUAUGUCAUGUAGGCCAGCCAAGUGAAGCCUGUAUUCCUAUUAUAUGCAGUAAGCAGAUUUCCGCCUUAUAUCUGUUGAGUUAGGUCAUAGAAUAUAAGAGUUGAUCAUAUAUAAAGUCUUUUCUCUUUCUUUUUUCUGAGAGAGAGAAACAGAGAAAAAGGGAGGGAGACAUACCGGCCCUAUAAUUACCCUAAUGGGCCUGGUCUAUAUAUUUUGAGA